GCCCCUGUGGCCUAAUGGCUAAGGCGUCUGACUUCUAAGUGCAGUCAAAAGGCUGCUAGAUGCGAAUCAGAAGAUUGCCAGUUCGAUCCUGGCCAGGGGCU